GUCAGCUCGUGUCGUAAGAUGUUCCGUUCAGUCGGGAAACGAGCGCAACCCCUGUGAAGUGUUAUAUAUGUCACUUCAGACUGCCCUCUCAUUUGUUCAGAAGCGAAAGCUUGUGAAUAGGUGAGAGGGAGGAAGGCGGGGAUGACGUCAAAUCAGCAUGGCCCUUUGACACCUUGGGCGACACACGUGCUACAAUGGCCGAUUAAUAAAGGGUAGCCAACCCGCGAGGGGGAGCCAAUCCCAAAAACUCGGUCCCAGUUCGGAUUGAAGGCUGCAACUCGCCUUCAUGAAGUUGGAAUCACUAGUAAUCGUUGAUCAGCCACGCAACGGUGAAUGCGUUCUCGGAUCUUGUACUCACCGCCCGUCACACCAAGAGAGCUGGCAAUACCAGAAGGCCCCGGGUCAAAUCGGGGACGACGGUAGGGUCAGUAAUAAGGGUGAAGUCGUAACAAGGCAUCCGUAGCGGAAGCUGUGGAUGAAUCACCUCCUUU
rnacentral:ncRNA from 1 species